UAAUGUUACUUUGAAUCCCUUCAUCUAAAUCAUUGAUGUAUAUUGUAAAUAGCUGCGGUCCCAGCACCGAGCCUUGUGGUACCCCAUUAGUCACUGCCUGCCAUUCUGAAAGUGACUCGUUAAUCCCUAAUCUUUGUUUCCCGUCUGCC